rnacentral:lncRNA from 1 species
UGCAGGUGAGGUUGAAUUCCAUCUCGGUUGCGGCCGCCGCGCGCACUCGGAUACCUCUUUCCACUCUCCUCCUUUCUCCGCACGCCCGCGCCCACCGAGUCCCCAUCUCCCUCCCAGCUCCGAGCGCGCUCCCGCUGCCGCUCCCGCUGCCGCUCGCUCUCUACAGCCGUGGCCGCGAGCGGAGUGCGGCUCGACCCGACGGCGCGCUGUGUAGGUCUGCUGCCUCUCACAUGGAAAGCGCAGCUCCCUAGUUUCCCUUAGCUCGUCUCUCGCACGGCUCUCUGUGUCUCUGGCCGACCGCGACACACGUAGAGCAGGUACACCUCACAUCUGUCCCAUUUCGUCCUUUUGAUUCAGAGUUGUCUCUCUUUUUUCUUCUUUUUCUUUUUCCUGCUCUUCACAUGAGAUGUGCCAACACUUUUUUUUUUCUCGCAGAAGGGGGACACCUCGAUUCUGACGGAUUCUGUUGUGGCUGUGUGCCUUUUUCUCUCUGUUUCAGUGCAAAACCCCGGGGGCCUGUAUUUGGAAUAAGAAAAGCAUUGCUGCUUUGCGACUGGACGGACGAAAGAAAGGACUCCUCUGACAUUUCCUGUGGAUGUUUUAAUUCGGACGCCUCGUUACCGAGGCUUUGCAGUCAACUGCCUGGGCAUAUAGUAAGUAGCCUUGAGGCAUUUUUUUCGGUUGUUGAAGCAUUUGGGGAGACAGCUGUGAAACCACACACACACACACACACACACACGCGCACACACACACACACACACACACACACACACACACACACACACACACACACACACACACACACACACACACACACACACACACACACACACACACACACACACACACACACACACACUGUUAUCAAAGUGUUCGUCCGCAGUGCUUUGUUUGUUUUGUUUGUCAAGUUGUCCGUCCACGUCGCGCCACGUGCCACGUGUCCCUGCCCAGGGCGCAUAUCUGCAUAUCACGAAGCCAUACGUUAUCCAUGGACUGGCUGACACGCAGCGGUGUGCCGGUCGCCUCUCAAAACGGGGGGCGCGGCAUUUGGUUAGCUCUCUAUCGGUGCCAUUCAUCAAUUAAGCUGUGUCGCUGGGUCGCUUUGGUUUUACGCGUGCCCUACUACAUGAUUAAACGAUUUAUGAUGCCUUGACCGCGGUUCAUGUGUGCAAUGGGCAAGUUGCGGAAUUUUCAGGGCGAAGAAAAGUUUGCUUGUGUAGCCCGCGCCUGUUCCUGAGGCUGAGGUUAUGUAUCCCCAUAUCUAUUUGCGCGCGUGCACGUCAAUGUGCGCGUGCGUCGGUGUUCGGUAUGGCUUCGGUUAGUUAACGAGCGAUGGUGCUUUUGGCUAUGGAUGUCACCGUUUGUUGUUUGAUUGACGGCACAUGAGCUGUCCAUGCCUACGUGGUCGUCGCGCCACUUAAGUGAUCCACAUUCACUCAACCCUCUGUGUGAUGACAGGGUACAUACUUAAAAAAUAAGAACGUGCAAGUGACGGUUUUGCACUCGACCUGCCCAUGACAUGUCAUUUUGUGAGCUUGAGCUGAUAAUAACUUUCUACGGCUGGGAUCGUGUGUGUGUGUCUGUGUGUGUGUGUGUGUGUGUGUGUGUGUGUGUGUGUGUGUGUGUGUGUGUGUGUGUGUGUGUCUGUGUGUGUGUGUGUGUGUGUGUGUGUGUGUGUGUGUGUGUGUGUGUGUGUGUGUGUGUGUGUGUGCGUUUGGGGGUCAGUGAGGUAUGUUUCCUCUUGGCGGCAGGUGAGGGGAGGGAGCUAAGCGAGCGUGACCACGGUCGGGAGGCUAACAGCAUUAGCGUCUUGUCGUUACCCCCCAGAGGUCCAACGACGAGCACGGCAUCGCUGCCUCUUUGUGAUUCAGGACGACCUCUCCACCGCCGUGCACUAAAGCCCUAAUAAUAUAGGAACAAAUGAUGCCCCCGUGCAGACUUCCCACUAGCUGCUCAAUGAUGCAUUUUUAACUGUGUUUUAGAGAAGGUAAUUGGAGUGUGUGUACCGCACUGAAAGGUCAUCACCACAACGUAUAGGUGGACAGAGAGAGAGAGAGAAGGGCUUGUGGUAUGCGUUGGUGGAUGUGUUGGGCGGUGUUUGGUUUAGCUUUACAACAGUUACCCCAGGCGCUGGGUAAUGCUGAGCUCAUCAUGAUGAUAUUGUUUUUUCUCCACGGUGCACAUCUGUCUGUCUGCAACAUCGAUGCCUGUCUGUUUCUUUUGAUCUCUCUCUCUCUCUCUCUCUCUCUCUCUCUCUCUCUCUCUCUCUCUCUCUCUCUCUCUCUCUCUCUCUCUCUCUGGUUUAUCUCUUUCUCCCCGUCUUUCUGUCUCUCUCAAUCCAUCUAUCUUGAUCCGGUUUAUCUCUUUCUCUCUGUCUUUCUCUCUCCUUCUUUCUGUCUCUCUCACCAUCUUUCUGAAUCUCUCUCUUUAUGACUAUCUGUGAGUUUUGUCCCUGUCCUUUCCAGCUAUCCAUCUCACCCUAAUGUGUUUCUUUCUUGAAAUUGAAAUGUCAACUGUAUCAUUUAAGGGUAUAGGGAGAUCAUGAAUGCAAUUGCAUUCCUGAUAGAGCACUCCAUCAGUUGUUUGCAAUGCACGGUAUACUGUGCAUCUAUCGGCACAAAUAGCUCUCAUGUAUCUCAGCUCCCCCUAAUACCCAUUUUUGCAGCAUCGCACCCCCCCCCCCCCCCCCCGAGACAUCUCCCACAAGUAAGAACCCCAAUAGUCACACCAUCAACGAUGCAAAAAACAAUGAAAUCCCGACCCUCCAAAUCACUGCUUCCCCACGUAUGCCACAGCUCUCUCUCACGGCAGUCACCGCUCCUCACUGCUGUCACACAGCCCGUCAGGGACAGUGAUCCCCCUGAGAAGGUCAGGCUUCCUGAUGUGCAAACACGUUCCCCUCAGACUCCCAAAGCACCCCUGCAGAACAGUCGUUGCAUUCCGUAGCAGUUCCAGGAUUAGUCCCAGGUAAGUGCGUCCCGUGCCGUCCCCCGUUGCUCCCGAUCAACGCGCGCUCCCGUUUUAAUAAAUUGCCUCUGGUUUCCAUUGUCUCUGCGGUGAGUGUGGCUCCUGAGUCUGCUCGCUGUCUCCAUAUCAAUCAUUGCUGAAUGGGCUUUGUGCCGGAACAGCUCCGAGCAGAAUCCAAGAGAGAGAGAGAGAGAGAGAGAGAGAGCGAGCGAGGGAACGGCAGGGUAUUUCUGCAUGUUUGCCGGGAGUUUCAUGAGCUCCACCACCACCUAACCCCUCAGUAUUCCCGAGGCCUUAAUGGAAGAGCCGGCUUGGGUUGCCACAUCCCAGGCAAACCUUCCUCCGCUAUUAAUUAUCCGCCAACACGGACGGCUCAACCGCGACGUGUCGCAACGCACCCUCAUUAACUCACCCUGUUCCCGCGUCUCCCCAGGGAGAAACGGGCAUAAGUCAUAAUUAUGGCUUAUAAAAUUCAUCCAGGUGACAUAAUAGGGCCAUCGUUGUGACGUGUGGACGCCACUGAGGCGGCCAAUUAACAUUUCAGCUCAAUCAUGCAAUGCGUCCACCAUCACUGUUUGUUUCUCCUAACGGCGUUCCAUGCUACAUUGCAAUACGGCUGAUACUUCCAGCAAGGAAUCGACAGUGAUUCCAGUGGGCUCGCAGCUAUCAGUGUCUACUGUAGCAGCGGUGUGGUUUUGGUAUGUGGGGCAUCCCGAAUCAGUGUUUGCGUCUUGUUAUGAAAAGCCUGAUACUUGACUCCCAACGGCUAUUUUAUAAUGAGGAUGAGUUGUCGGAUAAUUAGAUGCACUGAGCGCAGGUGCUCUCAGAAAAAUUCUGAUUCAUCCCAAACAGAAAUGUUCUGCCUGCCAACAUAAAAGCGCCGAGCAAAAAAAAAAGAAAAAAGAUUCUCUCUGUCACAUUGCCUCUCGAUUCGGGGCGGCCAUGUUUUAUUUAUUCACCCGUAUCUUUGGGCUCUCUCGGAUGUGGGAGGGCUUCAUGUGGUGCUGUGCCGAGUCCUCUGCUGCCAAACUUCCUCCCCCCCCCCUUGCAUCGUACACUGGUCGUAUACAUGAAGCCGUUAUAAAUAGAUACGAUGUACGUCAUGUCCAACUCUUCAAACUUAAAGCAUGUGAUUACUCUGGUGCUGACUCGAUGCGACUCUUAUUUUGAAGUUCCCCUCAUAAAAGCAUUUGGAUGUAGCGGAUGCCACGUCCAUUGUAGCUAAAGGGAAGGAGAAGCAGUGGGGUUUAUGUGUGUGAUGUGAAUGCAUGCCUGGGGGGGGUGUGGGGGUUCAGUGGCUGCCUCUGCACUUAGUACUCAAACUGAUGCACUGAUAAAGCUGUUGCUGUCUGGGAACUGAAUAAUAGGUUGGAUGCACGUUUAUCUAAUCAACCAUGUCAUGUCACUAAUACUGUACACAACACGUUUUAUCUGAUGAAUGUGAGUCACGGUAGUUGAAGUGUGCACACACGCACACCACAAAGCCACAAAGCAGUGAUAUGCAGUCACUCGGUUGAUUGGCGAGACUAUGUGAAUUGGAGCUUACUCAGCUAUGGUUUAAUGUAGGGUUGCUGGCUCGCUCCUAAGUCAACCGUGUAUUAAGCUGUUGCUAAGAAUAAUUAAGCCAUUUUAAGACAAUAAAAUAAUUCGGGCCUAUUGGAGUUACAGCUGUUGGCUACCAAAUGUGACAGUGGCACCAUUUAACUGAAUACACAUGAGGCGGAUGGAAACAGUUGAUGUGGUUGUGUUGUACACUCAUUUUUGCAUAAGUACAUUUCUUUCCAUUACCUUUUAUUGCGCCUCUUAGUUGCUCGGUGGAAUCAUGAAGUUAGUUAAAAAAAAUAGAGCUGCUUUGGAACAGAAAUGUCGACUGUGUUGCUGUUUUGUUUGGUUGUUUUUGCUUAUAUAAUGAUUUGCGUGUUGUGCUAGUGAGUGGUUUCUUCCUGCCAACCUGCACGACUUCCUUUCCAUAGGCCGGGACGCAAUCCUCUAUCUUAUAUCUGGUCCUCCCACCACAGCCAGAUUAAAAGUGCAUCUAAAAUAGCGCAUUUAUGAUGCAAAUUAAGGCUGACAUUAGCCGGCAUAAAGAAUCCAAUAUAAUAAACAUUUAUUAUGUUUAUUAUAUUACAUAAUAAGCCUAUUUUAGAGAGCCUAUUUCAUAAAUUGUAGUUGCAAAAGGACUUUUUUUUGGGACAAACAAAGAACGAGUUAUGGAGAUAUCAAAUUCUUCUGGUAAUGUCAUUAUGGUUUCUCUGUAUACACGGGGAUAUGUGGUUUCCCAUUGCAAUCAGAGCUUGGAAGUUUAGUAAGUUCUUUCAGCUCAAGCGCUGCCAAAAUAUCUCAAAAUCAAGCAAAGCCGAAACCGAGUCAGACAUCCGACAACAUCGGACGAAAUCAGGAUUGAUGGUGUUUUGUACUUUGCGGGCCAAAGCGAUUGCUUUGGCCAAUGCGAUUGCAUUGGCCAAUGCGCUGCACCUCACUUCUGUUUAUGCUCUUCUGCCAUCCAUACCUCCAGCCCGGGCUCAGCCAAGCGUGAGUCCACACGUUCACUUCAGG